AGCAGCCGCGGUAAUUCCAGCUUCAAUAGCGUAUAUUAAAGUUGUUGCAGUUAAAAAGCUCGUAGUUGAAUUUCGGGGUCAGUAGGUUGGUCGUGCCACGGGUAUGUACUGGUCUCACUGAUUCCUCCUUCCUGAUGAACCGUAAUGCCAUUAAUUUGGUGUUGCGGGGAAACUGGACUGUUACCUUGAAAAAAUUAGAGUGUUUAAAGCAGGCUAACGCUUGAAUACAUUAGCAUGGAAUAAUGAAAUAGGACGUUGAUCUUAUUUUGUUGGUUUCUAGGAUUGACGUAAUGAUUAAUAGGGAUAGUUGGGGGCAUUAGUAUUCAAUUGUCAGAGGUGAAAUUCUUGGAUUUAUUGAAGACUAACUACUGCGAAAGCAUUUGCCAAGGAUGUUUUCAUUAAUCAAGAACGAAAGUUAGGGGAUCGAAGACGAUCAGAUACCGUCGUAGUCUUAACCAUAAACUAUGCCGACUAGGGAUCGGAUGAUGUUAAUUUUUUAAUGACUCAUUCGGCGCCUUAC
rnacentral:rRNA from 1 species